AAAUUGAAGAGUUUGAUCAUGGCUCAGAUUGAACGCUGGCGGCAGGCCUAACACAUGCAAGUCGAACGGUAGCACAGAGAGCUUGCUCUCGGGUGACGAGUGGCGGACGGGUGAGUAAUGUCUGGGAAACUGCCUGAUGGAGGGGGAUAACUACUGGAAACGGUAGCUAAUACCGCAUAACGUCGCAAGACCAAAGWGGGGGACCUUCGGGCCUCWUGCCAUCAGAUGUGCCCAGAUGGGAUUAGCUAGUAGGUGGGGUAACGGCUCACCUAGGCGACGAUCCCUAGCUGGUCUGAGAGGAUGACCAGCCACACUGGAACUGAGACACGGUCCAGACUCCUACGGGAGGCAGCAGUGGGGAAUAUUGCACAAUGGGCGCAAGCCUGAUGCAGCCAUGCCGCGUGUAUGAAGAAGGCCUUCGGGUUGUAAAGUACUUUCAGCGGGGAGGAAGGGAGUAAGGUUAAUAACCUUAUUCAUUGACGUUACCCGCAGAAGAAGCACCGGCUAACUCCGUGCCAGCAGCCGCGGUAAUACGGAGGGUGCAAGCGUUA
rnacentral:rRNA from 1 species